rnacentral:rRNA from 1 species
CACACCGCCCGUCGCUACUACCGAUUGAAUGGCUCAGUGAGGCUUUCGGACUGGCCCAGAGGAGUCGGCAACGACACCUCAGGGCCGGAAAGUUAUCCAAACUCGGUCAUUUAGAGGAAGUAAAAGUCGUAACAAGGUCUCCGUUGGUGAACCAGCGGAGGGAUCAUUACAGAGUUAUCUAAACUCCCAAACCCAUGUGAACUUACCUAUGUUGCCUCGGCAGGGAACCUACCCGGUACUUACCCGGUAACUACCCCGUAGCUACCCUGUAAUUGCUGGGUAGACCUGCCGAAGGACCCUUUAAACUCUUGUUUUACUGUGGCACUCUGAGUAACUAAAAAUAAAUAAGUUAAAACUUUCAACAACGGAUCUCUUGGUUCUGGCAUCGAUGAAGAACGCAGCGAAAUGCGAUAAGUAAUGUGAAUUGCAGAAUUCAGUGAAUCAUCGAAUCUUUGAACGCACAUUGCGCCCACUAGUAUUCUGGUGGGCAUGCCUGUUCGAGCGUCAUUUCAACCCCUAAGCCUUAGUUGUUUAGCGUUGGGAGUUUGCAUCCUCGCGGUUAGCCGCGACGCAACUCCUUAAAUCUCGUGGUAGGGCUCGCGUCGCCUUGAAGUGUAGUAAUUUUCUUCUCACUUUUUAAAGGCGUUCGCGCGGCACAGCCAAGUAAAACCUUAUAUAUAUCAAGUGGUUGACCUCGGAUCAGGUAGGAGUACCCGCUGAACUUAAGCAUAUCAAUAAGCGGAGGAAAAGAAACCAACAGGGAUUGCCCUAGUAACGGCGAGUGAAGCGGCAACAGCUCAAAUUUGAAAUCUGGCCCUCGGGUCCGAGUUGUAAUUUGUAGAGGAUGCUUUUGGUGCGGCGCCUUCCGAGUUCCCUGGAACGGGACGCCAUAGAGGGUGAGAGCCCCGUACGGUUGGAUGCCUAGCCUCUGUAAAGCUCCUUCGACGAGUCGAGUAGUUUGGGAAUGCUGCUCUAAAUGGGAGGUAAAUUUCUUCUAAAGCUAAAUACCGGCCAGAGACCGAUAGCGCACAAGUAGAGUGAUCGAAAGAUGAAAAGCACUUUGAAAAGAGGGUUAAAUAGCACGUGAAAUUGUUGAAAGGGAAGCACUUAUGACCAGACUUUUUCCUGGCGGAUCAUCCGGCGUUCUCGCCGGUGCACUUUGCCAGGUUAAGGCCAGCAUCGAUUUCUAUAGGGGGAUAAAGACUUCGGGAAAGUAGCUCUCUUCGGGGAGUGUUAUAGCCCGUCGUGUAAUACCCUUACGGGGAUCGAGGUUCGCGCUCUGCAAGGAUGCUGGCAUAAUGGUCAUCAGUGACCCGUCUUGAAACACGGACCAAGGAGUCGAACAUUUAUGCGAGUGUUUGGGUGUUAAACCCUCACGCGUAAUGAAAGUGAACGGAGGUGAGAGCCCUUACGGGUGCAUCAUCGACCGAUCCUGAUGUCUUCGGAUGGAUUUGAGUAAGAGCAUAACUGUUCGGACCCGAAAGAUGGUGAACUAUGCGUGGAUAGGGUGAAGCCAGAGGAAACUCUGGUGGAGGCUCGCAGCGGUUCUGACGUGCAAAUCGAUCGUCAAAUCUGCGCAUGGGGGCGAAAGACUAAUCGAACCAUUAACGGAGGGACCAGCGGUAAAUAAUUAUUUACUAGGUGGUUAAUAGGCUUCUUGCGAGAGGAAGCCUAGGUCGGACCUACCCGGUAGCUACCCGGUACUCCCUUACCCGGGAGCUACCCUGUAGUAUCGGGUAGCCGACCGACACCGCUAAAUUGCGGGGACAUCCUACAGAAGGCUCCAGGCUACCGCCCUGCGCUGAAAGGCGUACGCGGCACCAAGAAUAGCGCUCUUGGGUACGGUAAAAACGCCUGGGGUAGCGGACGACCUGCAGCCAACCCCGCCAGCCCCUAUAGGGGGGGCUUAGGGGAGAGUUCACUGACUAAACAGCGGUGGGUUUCAUAGUGCUAAUAGGUGCUAUGGGGCCUAAGACAUAGUCGAUCUGGGCCCUGAAAAGGUGACCCUGAAGUAUUAUAUACUAGCGAGC